UGUCAUACGAUGAAGGAGAAACUUGAA
rnacentral:piRNA from 2 species